GACGAACGCUGGCGGCGUGCUUAACACAUGCAAGUCGAGCGGUAAGGCCCUUUCGGGGGUACACGAGCGGCGAACGGGUGAGUAACACGUGGGUGACCUGCCCUCAGCUCUGGGAUAAGCCUGGGAAACCGGGUCUAAUACUGGAUAUGACUCCAUGACGCAUGUUGUGGGGUGGAAAGCCUUGUGCGGCUGAGGAUGGGCCCGCGGCCUAUCAGCUUGUUGGUGGGGUGANGGCCUACCAAGGCGACGACGGGUAGCCGGCCUGAGAGGGCGACCGGCCACACUGGGACUGAGACACGGCCCAGACUCCGUACGGGAGGCAGCAGUGGGGAAUCUUGCGCAAGUGGGCGAAAGCCUGACGCAGCGACGCCGCGUGAGGGAUGACGGCC
rnacentral:rRNA from 1 species